CGCCGCGUGUAGGGAGACGGCCUCGGGUCGUAAACCUCUUUUAGCAGGGACGAAGCGCAAGUGACGGUACCUGCAGAAGAAGCACCGGCCAACUACGUGCCAGCAGCCGCGGUAAUACGUAGGGUGCGAGCGUUGUCCGGAAUUACUGGGCGUAAAGAGUUCGUAGGCGGUUUGUCGCGUCGUCUGUGAAAACCCACCGCUCAACGGUGGGCCUGCAGGCGAUACGGGCAGACUUGAGUACUGCAGGGGAGACUGGAAUUCCUGGUGUAGCGGUGAAAUGCGCAUAUAUCAGGAGGAACACCGGUGGCGAAGGCGGGUCUCUGGGCAGUAACUGACGCUGAGGAACGAAAGCGUGGGUAGCAAACAGGAUUAGAUACCCUGGUAGUCCACGCCGUAAACGGUGGGCGCUAGGUGUGGGUUCCUUCCACGGGAUCUGUGCCGUAGCUAACGCAUUAAGCGCCCCGCCUGGGGAGUACGGCCGCAAGGCUAAAACUCAAAGGAAUUGACGGGGGCCCGCACAAGCGGCGGAGCAUGUGGAUUAAUUCGAUGCAACGCGAAGAACCUUACCUGGGUUUGACAUGUAUUGGAAAGCUGUAGAGAUACGGCCCCCCUUGUGGCCGGUA
rnacentral:rRNA from 1 species